rnacentral:rRNA from 1 species
AAAUUUAUAGAUUAAUAAAUAUUUAAACUAAUAAAAUGAAUUUUAAAUAAAAAAAAAAAAUAAAAUAUGAAUAAUAAUAAAUAUUUUAAGGGGUUGAAGUAUUUAUUAUGAAAAAAUUUUUAUUUUUAUAGUUAAUUAGUAUAGUGUUAGAAAUUUGAAAUAUUUUAAAAAAUUAAUUUUUUAAAAGUAAAUUUUAUUUAUUGUAUCUUGUGUAUCAAAGUUUAUUAAUUAAUUUUUAAUUUAUUUAAUUUUCUCGAAUUUAAAAGAGUUAAUUAAUUAAAAAAGUUAUUGUUGGAAAAAUAUUUUUUAUAAUUAAUUAGAAAUGAAAUGUUAAUCGUUUUUAAAUAUAUCUAGUUUUUUCAGAAAAAAAUUUAAUUUUAAAUUUAAUUUUUUAAAAUAAUUUUAUUUAAUUUAAAAAAAUUAUUUUUUAAUAUUUUAAGGGAUAAGCUUUAAAAUAAAUUUUUAUAAUUAAUUUAAUUUUUAAAAAAAAAAUUUAAUAUUUAUAUUGUAUAAAAUUUUUAUUUUGUUAUAAAUAAUUUUUUUUUAUAAAAAAAAAUUUAAUUUUAUUUAAUUUUUUAUGAAAAUUUAAUUUUUAAUUUUUAAAAAUUAGUAAUAAUGAUAAAAUUAGUACAUAUUUAAUUUAUAAAUAAUAAAUAAUAUUUUAAUUUUAUUAAAGGAAUUCGGCAAAAUUAUUUAUUUUAAGUAUUUUAAAUUUUAUUUUUUUAAUUUAAAAUUAUAUAUAUAUAUAUAUAUAUAUAUAUAUAUAUUCUUAUUUAAAUUAAAAUGUUCACUUGUUUAUUAAAAACAUGUCUUUUUGAUUAAUAAUUUAAAGUCUAAUCUGCCCACUGAAUGAAAAAAUUUAAAGGGCUGCAGUAUUUUGACUGUACAAAGGUAGCAUAAUAAAUAGUUUUUUAAUUGAUGACUUGUAUGAAUGAUUUGAUGAAAUAUAUACUGUCUUUAAUAAAUUAUUUGUAAUUUAAUUUUUUAUUUAAAAAGAUAAAAUAUUAAUAAAAGACGAGAAGACCCUAUAAAGUUUAAUAUUUAUUUUUAAUUGAAUUUAUUUAUUAGUCAUUAAUUUUUAUUUAAUGUAAGUAUUUUAUUGGGGUGAUAGAAAAAUUAAAAAAACUUUUUUUUAUUCAUAAUAAGAAUAAUUAGAUUUUUUGAUCCAAUUUUUUUUGAUUAUAAGAUUAAAUUACUUUAGGGAUAACAGCGUAAUUUUUAUUUUUAGUUCUUAUAAAAAUAAGAGUUUGCGACCUCGAUGUUGGAUUAAGGUAAAUUUUAAAUGUAGAAGUUUAAGUUAUUUGGUCUGUUCGACCAUUAAAAUCUUACAUGAUCUGAGUUUAAACCGGUGUGAGCCAGGUUGGUUUCUAUCUUUAUUUAUAAUAAAAUAAUUUAGUACGAAAGGAUCAGUUAUUUAAAAUAAUUUUUUUUUUAUGAAUUUUAUUAAUUAAUUAUAAAUAAAA